GGUUUAAUAAUUUAACUUAAAGUCAUACAUUGAAUUGAAUUAAUUUUUCAUAAUGCUGUGGUUAGAGAAAACCCAAAUAUCCUGUUUUAUGAGAAUCUGGGGUAUGGACAGUAGAAAGUACUAAUAUGCCACCAUCGCUGAAAGACUCACAGAAAUAAAACCGCUAGGAUGCACAUGCUUUUUGGCAUGAUUUUUUAAACUUUCCCAUGAAAGCUAUAUAUAAAUAAUUAUAAAGACAAUAUAUAUUUGUCUUUUGUCUUUUUAGGGCCACAGCCAAGGCAUAUGGAGGUUCCCAGGCUAGAGGUCAAAUCAGAGCUGCAGCUGCCAGCCUGCGCCACAGCCAUAGCAACGCCAGAUCCAAACCAUGUCUGUGACCUACCAGAUCCUUAACCCACUGAGCAAGGCCAGGGAUCAAACCUGUGUCCUCAUGGAUACCAGUCGGGUUUGGUGACCACUGAGCCAUGACAGCAUCUCCCAAAAUGAUAUAUUUUUAAUGUGUGACUGUUCUGUCUAAUAGGAAGCAAGGAAAUUGGCUUUAAAGGAGAGGAGUCUAUCCCAUCCCAUUAGAAUCAUGAAACUUUCCAUUUCCACUUGUUCAGAGUGUUUUAUGUUGUUUUGUUUUCUUUGCCUGUUUUUGUCAGAAAGUGUGCAAAGCAGGCGGGGUUGUCCCUAAGACUAAGAGCAUGUGAACCCCAAUACCCUUUGUUUACAGUGGCCGCCGUGUGGAAGGUCACGCGUCCUUAACAGAGUCUGUAGUGAAGCAGCACAUGUGGGAGGAUCAGGGGAGCAUCUCUCCGUCCGAAAGGCUUUAGAGAGGGGGUUGCACAUAACACAUGACCCUGCGUCUUAAACUUGCCCUCUUCCAUUCUGCCUGCGUCUCAGAGAAGAAAGUUUCGGGGUUUUUCUAUUGAUUCCAAAAGCAUGUGUGAGAGGUUCUGUAUUACUUAUGAUAAAGAAGAUGAAAAUAAAUGCAUUUAUUAUAAGCCAAGUUUAAGUCAGGAAAAGUGAGGGUACUUUAAAAGUUAGCAGACUAUUCCUUUGCCUGGUUCUAUAUUCCAAGUGCACAUGUAGGUUGGAUUAGGGCAGUUGUUGAUAGAUUGAUAGAUUUCAGCUCAUCCCCCUUUCAGCAAAUCUAAUGGUACUUUAUUGCACUUUACUUUGGCUCUGCAAGGGUUCUCCAUAUUCUUAAAAUCCACUGCAGAGCGUUUGCACAGACGGGGGGAGAUCUCUGUCAGUGAUAGGGAAGCUGAUCAACGUCAAAGCUUCUUGGUGCUGUUGGGGAACUUGGCAGAGAGUAGGCUCAUGGCAGCAGGAGAUAUUUCUGUGCACUUUUCAUGAGUCUCAUGGGACACUUGUAAAUGAUUUUGGUGGUUCCUUCUCACCCUUUUGUUCCAUUUUUGUCUGAACUGAAUAUCGAUGCAACUGGGGCGUAGAAGCAAUGCCAAGUAGUUCUGCUGGGAGCCACCUGGGAAGUCCAACACAACACUAGCAUAGAUAUGCUGCUCGCCCUCAAAGUGCUGGAGUUGACUGGUGAUGAGGUAUGAAGCUGAGGCUCCUGAGUCCGUCUUCUAUUAGAUAAAACUCUGCUUUUUUGCCGUCUACUUAAUAGCAUGUUACCUUCCUCAUUUUCACGUCUUCUAAGUUUGUGGAAUCUCUCUAAUUCUUAAAAAUAUAGCUAUUAAAAAUGAAAAGCAGGCUGAAGUUGUAGAUACUAAACUGAAUUACCCUUUUUUCCCCUAUUCUCAUCCUUGAUCCUUGCCCAUUCCCUAAAGCUUAUAAAUAUUUGUGGAAGAGCUGUGGGGGGUAUAAGAAACAAAAUGUUUUUGUAAAAAUAUUUACCAAGAGAAUAUGGAUACAGAGAAUAAAAUGAAGAAAACAAAACAUCUUAGCCUAAAUUUUCAACUUUGUUAAAAAUUGGAAACUUCUAAUCUUUAUUUUAUAUUGAUAAUGAUAAAAAAGCCUUAAAUUAAAACUCGUCUUUACAGACAUCUAUUGUGCUUUGUCAACAUGACGUGAUGCUUUUCUAUUCAGCCAUUUUCAAGCUUCCAAACAAUUGAAAUAGAAAAGAGGAAAAUAUUUUAUGGCAACAUAUAUAUCAUUCGUAAAACCGAUAAUCAAAAAAAAAUACGUAAGGAAGAGUUAGGCAACAGUUUCUAUUGCUGUCAGAAAUCAUUCUUCCAUUGUGAAAUUUCAAGAAAAGAGGAGUUCCCAUCGUGGUCAGCAGUUAGCGAGCCCGACUAGCCUUCAGCAGGAUGCGGGUUUGAUCCCCAGCCUCGCUCAGUGGGUUAAGGAUCUGGUGUUGCCAUGAGCUGUGGUGUAGGUCACAGAUGUGGCUUGGAUCUCAUGUUGCUGUGGCUCUGGUGUAGGCCGGCAGCUAUAGGUCUGAUCGGACCCCCUAGACUGGGGAACCUCCAUAUGCCUUGAGUGUGGCUCUAAAAAGACAAAAAGACUGGAAAAAAAAAAAGGGAAAAAAAGAAACUCUUGAGACUUGGAUGAUAUGAAAACAUUUUAGUAAGAAAAGAGAUAAUCGAGAUAGGGAUGAAUACAGUGCCAGUCAGAGGGAUGAAUACAUCAAGCUGCGUUGGUGAGAGGCGGAUGAAAAAGGAAGCUUCGAAGUGUGCCCUCAGACUUUUUCAAGCUUGCAUCUUUUAUGGAAUAUUUUCUGUGUAUUUCUGAAUCUAACGGAUUAGGGUCCCUGGUACAAAAACCCGGUUUUCCAGUUUUUUGUCCUGUUGUAUUUCUGGUCUGUUGUGAACAGAACCGUUGCGUACAGCUGGGAAGAUUACGCACUGCACCAGUCCGGGUGUGAAGGUGCUGCAACCACAGGUGGUGGCCCUGGCUCAGUACUUCCGCUCAGGGGAAUAAAUAAACAGGUGCUCUUAAGGUAUAUGUAUUUUAUGCUGCUGACCAAGCACCCAAAUAAAAUGCUCAGGAUAUUAGAAGACUAGUCUUUAGAGCUGAUGUUUUCAUCCUUUCUUCCCGAUUCCCUGUUUCUCGUUUUAAUGUCUACAGAUGAGAUGAAUAACAGGUGAUCUUUCUGAAUCUCUCAGUAUUUCUUCUCUCCUCCCCGCUACCACACACACAGCUUUUUGAAAUGUUCCCCAGGGUUCCCAGUAAAACGCUGCAUCGUCUGAUAAAGACCACCUUUGUGAAGCUGUUGAUUUGGGUGGGUCUUCUGGGUGGUCUCCUGGAAUGGGAAUGACAGUUAGUUACAUCUGAUAUUCCCUUUGCUAAAGCUAAGGGACGUAGCUCCUGAUCAUAGGUAGUGAUUAAUUUAACCCACUUUUUGGGUU
rnacentral:lncRNA from 1 species